CUCAAAUUUAUAAUCUGGCACCUUCGGUGUCCGAGUUGUAAUCUCUAGAAAUGUUUUCCGCGUUGGACCGCACACAAGUCUGUUGGAAUACAGCGGCAUAGUGGUGAGACCCCCGUAUAUGGUGCGGACGCCCAGCGCUUUGUGAUACAUUUUCGAAGAGUCGAGUUGUUUGGGAAUGCAGCUCAAAUUGGGUGGUAAAUUCCAUCUAAAGCUAAAUAUUGGCGAGAGACCGAUAGCGAACAAGUACCGUGAGGGAAAGAUGAAAAGCACUUUGGAAAGAGAGUUAACAGUACGUGAAAUUGUUGGAAGGGAAACGCUUGAAGUCAGACUUGCUUGCUGAGCAAUCGGUUUGCAGGCCAGCAUCAGUUUUCCGGGAUGGAUAAUGGUAGAGAGAAGGUAGCAGUUUCGGCUGUGUUAUAGCUCUCUGCUGGAUACAUCUUGGGGGACUGAGGAACGCAGUGUGCCUUUGGCGGGGGUUUCGACCUCUUCACACUUAGGAUGCUGGUGGAAUGGCUUUAAACGACCCGUCUUGAA
rnacentral:rRNA from 1 species